rnacentral:rRNA from 1 species
UACGGAGGGUGCGAGCGUUGUCCGGAAUCAUUGGGCGUAAAGGGUGCGUAGGUGGCGCCAUAAGUCAGGUGUGAAAUCUCGGGGCUCAACCCCGAAACUGCACUUGAUACUGCCUUGCUAGAGUACUGGAGAGGAGAUUGGAAUUUACGGUGUAGCAGUGAAAUGCGCAGAUAUCAGGAAGAACACCCGUGGCGAAAGCGGCUCUCUGGGACGGUACUGACGCUGAGACGCGAAAGCGUGGGGAGCGAACAGG